AUUCAGUCUCCCAUGUUGGGUAUCUUUAUAUUUGUAGGUUCACUUGGUGACCUUCAAAGAACACAGGAUCGUUGAUUUCUUGUUGCAGGAAAUUUUGCAGACACUAAUGAAGCAUUCUCUUUUCCUCUAUGUAGACAUUUUCCAGAAGUUUUGUCGGCUCAACGAUCCGACAAGGUUUGCUUAUUCUUCCUUUAUAAAAAUGAAUUAAUGUAUCAGUUGUGUCGGCAAUCAUGUAAUGUCAAAUAUUUUGUUGUCCAUAUAUAAUCUUUUAAUUUGAGGAACUGAUCAAUCUAAUCUUCAACCUAAACAUGGUUCUAAUGAAGCUCUCAAUUGCUCUACUGAUGAGAGAUGGUCAAUAAUGGGAAAUGAUGGGAUAAAUGAUGUCACCAACCUUGUCAACUCAUCUUCCGAAAAAAUUAUGGGGGUUAAUAACUCUUUCAUCAACGGGUUUUCAGUUGUGAGUAAUGUAGUACUACGUGAAUGUACCUGCUGCUGUGCUUCUCAUAUUUCUUCGAGAGCAUAGGCAGAUAAUAGCAUUGAUGCUUACCCACCUUCUGGGGUCAAAGAUGCUCCUUAAGCUUAGGGGAUCGUUUAGCGGAUGACUUUAUGUUGUGUAAGAAGUUGGGUGAAAGUACUUUUGGAAUAAUUUAUAGAGAAACCUGAGCUCAAGG